GUUACUGCGAAGGGGGGCGGAGAAGGCUAUGUUUAGCCGGGCGACGGUUUCCCGGUUUAAGCAUGUAGGCUGGUUGUCCAGGCAAAUCCGGAUAAUCAAGGCUGAGGUGUGAUGACGAGGCACUACGGUGCUGAAGUAACAAAUGCCCUGCUUCCAGGAAAAGCCUCUAAGCAUCAGGUAACAUCAAAUCGUACCCCAAACCGACACAGGUGGUCAGGUAGAGAAUACCAAGGCGCUUGAGAGAACUCGGGUGAAGGAACUAGGCAAAAUGGUGCCGUAACUUCGGGAGAAGGCACGCUGGUGUGUAGGUGAAGUCCCUGCGGAUGGAGCUGAGACCAGUCGAAGAUACCAGCUGGCUGCAACUGUUUAUUAAAAACACAGCACUGUGCAAACACGAAAGUGGACGUAUACGGUGUGACGCCUGCCCGGUGCCGGAAGGUUAAUUGAUGGGGUUAUCCGUAAGGAGAAGCUCUUGAUCGAAGCCCCGGUAAACGGCGGCCGUAACUAUAACGGUCCUAAGGUAGCGAAAUUCCUUGUCGGGUAAGUUCCGACCUGCACGAAUGGCGUAAUGAUGGCCAGGCUGUCUCCACCCGAGACUCAGUGAAAUUGAACUCGCUGUGAAGAUGCAGUGUACCCGCGGCAAGACGGAAAGACCCCGUGAACCUUUACUAUAGCUUGACACUGAACAUUGAGCCUUGAUGUGUAGGAUAGGUGGGAGGCUUUGAAGCGUGGACGCCAGUCUGCGUGGAGCCAACCUUGAAAUACCACCCUUUAAUGUUUGAUGUUCUAACGUUGGCCCCUGACCGGGGUUGCGGACAGUGUCUGGUGGGUAGUUUGACUGGGGCGGUCUCCUCCCAAAGCGUAACGGAGGAGCACGAAGGUUAGCUAAUCCUGGUCGGACAUCAGGAGGUUAGUGCAAUGGCAUAAGCUAGCUUGACUGCGAGCGUGACGGCGCGAGCAGGUGCGAAAGCAGGUCAUAGUGAUCCGGUGGUUCUGAAUGGAAGGGCCAUCGCUCAACGGAUAAAAGGUACUCCGGGGAUAACAGGCUGAUACCGCCCAAGAGUUCAUAUCGACGGCGGUGUUUGGCACCUCGAUGUCGGCUCAUCACAUCCUGGGGCUGAAGUAGGUCCCAAGGGUAUGGCUGUUCGCCAUUUAAAGUGGUACGCGAGCUGGGUUUAGAACGUCGUGAGACAGUUCGGUCCCUAUCUGCCGUGGGCGCUGGAGAAUUGAGGGGGGCUGCUCCUAGUACGAGAGGACCGGAGUGGACGCAUCACUGGUGUUCGGGUUGUCAUGCCAAUGGCACUGCCCGGUAGCUAAAUGCGGAAGAGAUAAGUGCUGAAAGCAUCUAAGCACGAAACUUGCCCCGAGAUGAGUUCUCCCUGAGACUUUAAGUCUCCUGAAGGAACGUUGAAGACGACGACGUUGAUAGGCCGGGUGUGUAAGCGCAGCGAUGCGUUGAGCUAACCGGUACUAAUGAACCGUGAGGCUUAACCUUACAACGCCGAAG
rnacentral:rRNA from 1 species